rnacentral:rRNA from 1 species
UACAGAGGUCUCAAGCGUUGUUCGGAUUCAUUGGGCGUAAAGGGUGCGUAGGUGGUGGGGUAAGUCGGAUGUGAAAUCCCGGGGCUCAACCCCGGAACUGCAUUCGAAACUGCCUUGCUCGAGUACUGGAGAGGAGAUUGGAAUUUACGGUGUAGCAGUGAAAUGCGUAGAUAUCGUAAGGAAGACCAGUGGCGAAGGCGGAUCUCUGGACAGCUACUGACACUGAGGCACGAAGGCCAGGGGAGCAAACGGG